AACAUCCAAAUCAUGUACUACAUUACAUGUAAGGUUGUUCAACAACCAACAGAAAACAUAUUAAACAUCCCAUCCCGAUGUUACAUCUACCAGAGCAUGACUCGCUAAGAACUACACUAGACUCCCAGGACUAGCUUCUAUUCAAUCACUGCUCGUUACCUGAAAACACAGUUGUAAGGGUGAGUUCCUCAAUCAAUAUAAUGAAUAUUAUAAAACAUCAUGUUAUGUUAAGU
rnacentral:lncRNA from 1 species